ACCCUUUAAUGUUUGAUGUUCUAACGUGGACCCGUGAUCCGGGUUGCGGACAGUGUCUGGUGGGUAGUUUGACUGGGGCGGUCUCCUCCUAAAGAGUAACGGAGGAGCACGAAGGUUGGCUAAUCCUGGUCGGACAUCAGGAGGUUAGUGCAAUGGCAUAAGCCAGCUUGACUGCGAGCGUGACGGCGCGAGCAGGUGCGAAAGCAGGUCAUAGUGAUCCGGUGGUUCUGAAUGGAAGGGCCAUCGCUCAACGGAUAAAAGGUACUCCGGGGAUAACAGGCUGAUACCGCCCAAGAGUUCAUAUCGACGGCGGUGUUUGGCACCUCGAUGUCGGCUCAUCACAUCCUGGGGCUGAAGUAGGUCCCAAGGGUAUGGCUGUUCGCCAUUUAAAGUGGUACGCGAGCUGGGUUUAGAACGUCGUGAGACAGUUCGGUCCCUAUCUGCCGUGGGCGCUGGAGAACUGAGGGGGGCUGCUCCUAGUACGAGAGGACCGGAGUGGACGCAUCACUGGUGUUCGGGUUGUCAUGCCAAUGGCACUGCCCGGUAGCUAAAUGCGGAAGAGAUAAGUGCUGAAAGCAUCUAAGCACGAAACUUGCCCCGAGAUGAGUUCUCCCUGAGACUUUAGGUCUCCUGAAGGAACGUUGAAGACGACGACGUUGAUAGGUCGGGUGUGUAAGCGCAGCGAUGCGUUGAGCUAACCGGUACUAAUGAACCGUGAGGCUUAACCUUACAACGCCGAAG
rnacentral:rRNA from 2 species